CGCGCACCAGGGUGGAGGUUUGGUGCCGGGGGUUGAGAACAACAGUCAAACCCUCUUCUUCCCUGUACCGCGCACCUGCCCCCUGGGAUGCCGAACGAAGUGGCCCCUAAGGCUUCUCUGCAGGUCCAACCGAAACAGGCCUGAAGUUCCAGGAUGGGCGAGAGGAUCCUCUUUGAGCGAAACCAGCCUUCUGCCUGGCUGGCCCUGGUCAACACACUCGGAAGAGGCCGAUUUGGAGGACAGAACGGAAGAAAAGACCUAAAGUAGAUGAUCCUCAUCCAAUCACUUAAAGGCCUGAAUAGAACCAAAAGUCUGACCUGCCCAUGAGUAAGAGAGAGCUCCUUCUGCCUGAUUGCUUCAGCUGAGAUAUCAGCCUUUUCCUGCCUUUGGAAUUGAACUGCAACACUGGCUCUUCCUGGGCCUCAAGCCUGCCAGCUUUUGAACUGUAAUCACACCAUCAUCUCUCCUGGUUCUCAGGCCUUUGGACUCAAAUCAGAAACACACCAUGGGCUCUCCUGUGUCUCAAGCUUGCCAACUGUGAUCUUGAGACUUCUCAGCCUCCAUAAUCACAUGAGUCAAUUGUUGGUUCUGUUUCUCUGGAGAACCCUAAUCCAUCACUUUACAUAUUUCUUCCAUUACACAUAUUGUUUCCCAGCAUAUUAA
rnacentral:lncRNA from 1 species